AUUGAACGCUGGCGGAUGCCUUACACAUGCAAGUCGAACGGCAGCACGGGUGCUUGCACCUGGUGGCGAGUGGCGAACGGGUGAGUAAUACAUCGGAACGUACCUUAUCGUGGGGGAUAACGCAGCGAAAGUUGCGCUAAUACCGCAUAAGCCCUGAGGGGGAAAGCGGGGGACCGUAAGGCCUCGCGCGAUUAGAGCGGCCGAUGCCUGAUUAGCUUGUUGGUGAGGUAAAAGCUCACCAAGGCGAUGAUCAGUAGCUGGUCUGAGAGGACGAUCAGCCACACUGGGACUGAGACACGGCCCAGACUCCUACGGGAGGCAGCAGUGGGGAAUUUUGGACAAUGGGGGCAACCCUGAUCCAGCAAUGCCGCGUGAGUGAAGAAGGCCUUCGGGUUGUAAAGCUCUUUUGUCAGGGAAGAAACAGCAGCUCUAACACAGUCUGCGAAUGACGGUACCUGAAGAAUAAGCACCGGCUAACUACGUGCCAGCCGCCGCCGUAA
rnacentral:rRNA from 1 species